rnacentral:rRNA from 1 species
GAUGAACGCUGGCGGCGUGCCUAAUACAUGCAAGUCGAGCGAACGGACGAGAAGCUUGCUUCUCUGAUGUUAGCGGCGGACGGGUGGGUAACACGUGGAUAACCUACCUAUAAGACUGGGAUAACUUCGGGAAACCGGAGCUAAUACCGGAUAAUAUUUUGAACCGCAUGGUUCAAAAGUGAAAGACGGUCCUGCUGUCACUUAUAGAUGGAUCCGCGCUGCAUUAGCUAGUUGGUAAGGUAACGGCUUACCAAGGCAACGAUGCAUAGCCGACCUGAGAGGGUGAUCGGCCACACUGGAACUGAGACACGGUCCAGACUCCUACGGGAGGCAGCAGUAGGGAAUCUUCCGCAAUGGGCGAAAGCCUGACGGAGCAACGCCGCGUGAGUGAUGAAGGUCCUCGGAUCGUAAAACUCUGUUAUUAGGGAAGAACAUAUGUGUAAGUAACUGUGCACAUCUUGACGGUACCUAAUCAGAAAGCCACGGCUAACUACGUG